rnacentral:lncRNA from 1 species
CAACAACCCAAGCUCUCCCAGUUGGUGAUGGUUGAAAUACACUGUGAUGGCCCACAGCUGUGGUACUCCAGGCUGGGUGCUCCUCACAGGUUUUUCAAAUCAAGCAGAAUUUGCUAGAAAUCAGUAGGGCCAGGCUGGGAAGAAGGAAGCAGCACUUGGUCAGUAGGUUUGUCUCUGGAGCUACAGGACAAAGUGCCUGGGGAUCCAACCUGUGGAAAUUGAAGUCUCUGAGGAUUCCUCUGUGACCAAAGACUGGAUUUCUCUUCUCAAAGGUGAGUACCAUGAAGCGUGCUAUCACAUGUACUGUUCUUUCCCAUAUCAUUCUGGUCAUGUGUAUAUUUGGUUAUUGCUGGAUGCUGUGAAUGGCACAGGUCACCCAUGCAGUGAUGAGCACUGCAGGUUUGUG